AUUGAACGCUGGCGGCAGGCCUAACACAUGCAAGUCGAACGGUAACAGGAAGAAGCUUGCUUCUUUGCUGACGAGUGGCGGACGUGUGAGUAAUGUCUGGGAAACUGCCUGAUGGAGGGGGAUAACUACUGGAAACGGUAGCUAAUACCGCAUAACGUCGCAAGACCAAAAAGGGGGACCUUCGGGCCUCUUGCCAUCGGCUGUGCCCAGAUGGGAUUAGCUAGUAGGUGGGGUAACGGCUCACCUAGGCGACGAUCCCUAGCUGGUCUGAGAGGAUGACCGGCCACACUGGAACUGAGACACGGUCCAGACUCCUACGGGAGGCAGCAGUGGGGAAUAUUGCACAAUGGGCGCAAGCCUGAUGCAGCCAUGCCGCGUGUAUGAAGAAGGCCUUCGGGUUGUAAAGUACUUUCAGCGGGGAGGAAGGGAGUAAAGUUAAUACCUUUGCUCAUUGACGUUACCCGCAGAAGAAGCAACGGCUAACUCCGUG
rnacentral:rRNA from 1 species